UACAGGGGGUGCAAACGUUGCUCGGAAUUAUUGGGCGUAAAGCGCGCGUAGGCGGCUACUUAUGUCGGAUGUGAAAGCCCUUGGCUCAACUGAGGAAGUGCACCCGAAACUGAGUAGCUGGAGUACGAAAGAGGGUCGCGGAAUUCCCGGUGUAGAGGUGAAAUUCGUAGAUAUCAGGAGGAACACCGGUGGCGAAGGCGGUUCUCUGGGCAUUACCUGACGCUGAGGAGCGAAAGUGUGGGGAGCGAACAGG
rnacentral:rRNA from 1 species